UACGGAAGGCAGCAGUGGGGAAUAUUGCACAAUGGGCGCAAGCCUGAUGCAGCCAUGCCGCGUGUAUGAAGAAGGCCUUCGGGUUGUAAAGUACUUUCAGUCAUGAGGAAGGUGUUAAGGUUAAUAACCUUAGCAAUUGACGUUAGCGACAGAAGAAGCACCGGCUAACUCCGUGCCAGCAGCCGCGGUAAUACGGAGGGUGCGAGCGUUAAUCGGAAUUACUGGGCGUAAAGGGCACGCAGGCGGUUAAUUAAGUUGGAUGUGAAAUCCCCGGGCUUAACCUGGGAAUGGCAUUCAAGACUGGUUAGCUAGAGUCUUGUAGAGGGGGUAGAAUUCCAUGUGUAGCGGUGAAAUGCGUAGAGAUGUGGAGGAAUACCGGUGGCGAAGGCGGCCCCUGGGACAAAGACUGACGCUCAUGUGCGAAAGCGUGGGGAGCAAACAGGGAUUAGAUACC
rnacentral:rRNA from 1 species